rnacentral:rRNA from 1 species
AUGGGUGGUUCCAGCUGCUUCCUCUGCCUGGGGGCAAGGAAGGAAGUCCCACUGCCUCCCCGGGCCGACCCCCACAGCCGCAGCAGCGUCGCCGCCACCGCGGCACAACCCUUCGCCUUCGACGAGCUCGCUGCGGCGACCAGGAACUUCAGAGACGACUUCCGCAUCGUUCGGAAGGCGAUUCUCUACAAAGGCUACCUCAAAAGUGUCAAGCAGGUCGUUGCUAUAAAGCUGCAGCAUGCCCUUGAUCCUAUUGGAUCAUCAUCAGAGCAACUCAACACGGAGUUUCUUGCCCGUGUCAUGACAUUGAGCGCGCUGCGCCAUCUGAAUGUCGUCAACCUCAUUGGCUUCUGCGCAGACGGCGAUCACAGGAUCUUGGUUCACGAGUACAUGUCAUUGGGUUCUCUCCAAAAUCACCUUCAUGAUCGGUCUCCGGGCAAAGCACUGCUAGACUGGAACACAAGGAUGAAUAUAGCUGCCGGUGUGGCCAAGGGUUUGGAGUAUCUGCACCACAAAGGUGUGGUAUACCGCAAACCCAUGAGUAGCUCGGACAUCUUGCUCGGACAUGGCUACCACCCAAAGCUGUCCCAGUAUGGAUUGGCAGAGCUUGGUCAGCCAGUUGCGGAGGAUGAUGAGCAAUUGCGUAUCAAUGUCACCAGAACCGCUGCUAUUGCCCCCGAGACAACAUUUACCAGGAAGGCGACCAUGGAGUCGAACGUGUACAGCUUUGGCGGCGUGCUGCUGGAGUUGAUCACCGGGAGGAGGCCCGUCGAACCCGCCCCAGCCAUCGCUGAGGAUCGGAACCUUGUCAUAUGGGCCACACGAUUGAUGGACAGGAGCCAGUUCCGCCGAAUGGCAGAUCCAGCACUGCAGGGCCGGUAUCCGUCCAUGGAUUUGCAGGAGGCACUGAAAGUUGCUUACAUGUGCAUCCACAAACAGCCGGCCAUGAGAUCCCCCAUUGGCACCGCCGCCGCAGCGCUGUCUCGCCUUGCCGCCUGCGAUGAUCGUCCACCUGAAUCAUCACACCACGCGGCGCCACGUUAA